AAACCAUUCAUUGGGCGUUUUCUAAUUAGUUCCUUAAAACACUCUUAUGUUUCAUACAAUGUUUCAUCUUCAAAUUGCCUAAAUGAUGUAAUGUUGUUCCUAAGCUU
rnacentral:snoRNA from 1 species